rnacentral:lncRNA from 1 species
ACUUAAAGUCCUCCUAAUGGAGGCGGCACUGCGGCCGCAAUCGGAUCCCGGACCUUCAGAGCUGGCACCCAGCACUUCAUCCUCGGUGCGCAGUACCCUGGCACCAGAGAUAUGUUGGGAGGCCAAGGGCCCAAAACCCCGGCACCGGAGAGAGUCGGCGCAUAAGAAAUCGUCUUUGACAAGACGCUGCUCCCCGUCGCCGGUGCCUGCUAAAAAGAACAGGCCGUCGACCGAACGAUCUCCCCACGGGACUCUAAAGGUCUGGCGCAGUCCACGACUGUUACGGGACAACCCGCGCCGCAGACCCAUUCCGUUGACUCCUGCCCCGGAGAGGGCAGGGUCGAAUCCGGAACGGCAUAGGUCCCCGGACGUGAUGGAGGAGGUCCGCCUCCCAUCGACACCUGAGACAUUCGAGGCCGCCUCAGACCUCUUGAACCUUCUGGUGCCGGCAUCGCCGCACCGGUGCAGACAACCUCCUGCUGCCACCGGGCCCCAGUAUCACUCUAAGGGUAAACCGGCGAUGCGCUCACCUCACUCCCCACGCGGCGCCAAGGUAGCGGCACCGGUGCGAGCACCCCCACCGGUGACUGUGGGUACCGCUCCUCCGAUGUCCUCUUAUUCAGAGACUUCUGACUCGGAGGCGGACUCCUACCGUUCUAACAGAUCGAGGAGCAGAUCGUCCUCGCGUAGGAGUGCCCAACCGUAUCCGCGACAGUGGCAUCAGCGGCACGACUGGCAACCGCCACAGUGGCCGUUCUGGACACCAUGGGCCUACCAUCAGUCGGUCGAUCAGGCAUACGGGCCCCGUUCACGAACCACUUCCGUCUCCUCAGCGUCUACGGCACCGCCGUUGAUGCCGCCGCCACCGGCACCGCCGUCUGAUAGGAGUGUGCCACAAGGCAUUACGGCACCCCCAGGUCAAACAACAGCACUGACGGGGGCUUUGCUUCCUUCAGCGCAGGCACCGCCCAGCACUCCUCGGCGCUCGGUGGCGACCCCGGUACCAGCCGCGGUGCCGCAUCUUGAGC